CGGUGUUCAACUGGCGUGUCCGCGGGACGUCCUGCCGGUGGGCUUAGCCCGCAAGGGCGGCCCAACUUCAAAUCCCAUCGCGGUGCUCUUCACUGAGUGUCGAGGUGGGCCGGCACGUUUACUUUGAACAAAUUAGAGUGCUUAAAGCAGGCUAAAACUUCGCCUGAAUACUGUGUGCAUGGAAUAAUGGAAUAGGACCUCGGUUCUAUUUUGUUGGUUUUCGGAAGCCCGAGGUAAUGAUUAAUAGGAACGGAUGGGGGCAUUCGUAUUGCGACGUUAGAGGUGAAAUUCUUGGAUCGUCGCAAGACGGACAGAAGCGAAAGCAUUUGCCAAAAACGCUUUCAUUGAUCAAGAACGGAAGUUAGAGGUUCGAAGGCGAUCAGAUACCGCCCUAGUUCUAACCAUAAACGAUGCCAGCUAGCGAUCCGUCGACGUUCCUCCGAUGACUCGACGGGCAGCUUCCGGGAAACCAAAGCUUUUGGGUUCCGGGGGAAGUGUGGUUGCAAAGCUGAAACUUAAAGGAAUUGACGGAAGGGCACCACCAGGAGUGGAGCCUGCGGCUUAAUUUGACUCAACACGGGAAACCUCACCAGGCCCGGACACCGGAAGGAUUGACAGAUUGAGAGCUCUUUCUUGAUUCGGUGGGUGGUGGUGCAUGGCCGUUCUUAGUUGGUGGAGCGAUUUGUCUGGUUAAUUCCGAUAACGAACGAGACUCUAGCCUGCUAACUAGGCGUAUUUUCGACAUCUCAAAGGUCCGUCGUCCCGGCCCUCGGGUCGUGGGCGUGCGCGAUUUUUACUGUCGGCGUACUAUCAAUUCUUCUUAGAGGGACAGGUGGCUUCUAGCCGCACGAGAUUGAGCAAUAACAGGUCUGUGAUG
rnacentral:rRNA from 1 species